CAAGCCUCUGGCGCUGCAUUUGCCAGAAACAAGGCGGGCGAUGAUUGAUAGAUUUACCACACGCAAUUUCGCCUGAUCGUCGAAAUGAAGGUUAAACUUCCUUGGACGUCUGAGCCAC
rnacentral:snoRNA from 16 species